UACGUAGGGGGCAAGCGUUGUCCGGAUUUAUUGGGCGUAAAGAGCGUGUAGGCGGUUAGGUAGGUCCGUUGUGAAAACUCGAGGCUCAACCUCGAGACGCCGAUGGAAACCAUCUGACUAGAGUCCGGAAGAGGAGAGUGGAAUUCCUGGUGUAGCGGUGGAAUGCGCAGAUAUCAGGAAGAACACCGGUGGCGAAGGCGGCUCUCUGGGCCUUACCUGACGCUGAGGAGCGAAAGCGUGGGUAGCGAACAGG
rnacentral:rRNA from 1 species